UACGAAGGGGGCUAGCGUUGUUCGGAAUCACUGGGCGUAAAGGGCGCGUAGGCGGCUUUAUAAGUCGGGGGUGAAAGCCUGUGGCUCAACCACAGAAUUGCCUUCGAUACUGUAGAGCUUGAGACCGGAAGAGGUAGGUGGAACUGCGAGUGUAGAGGUGAAAUUCGUAGAUAUUCGCAAGAACACCAGUGGCGAAGGCGGCUUACUGGUCCGGUUCUGACGCUGAGGCGCGAAAGCGUGGGGAGCAAACAGG
rnacentral:rRNA from 1 species